UAUCAUAUUAAUGUAUUAAGAUAUUAAGUGAGGAAGUAAAGUUGCAUUCAUAGGCCUUGAACUUUUCCACAUCUCGAUUUUUACCCAUCAUCUCUGCAUAUUUUCCUAAGGCAGCCUUCAAAUGGUGAUGUUUCCUGUCAUCCAGAGUUCAGAAGUGCCUUCUCUUCAACCUUUCUGUGGAAUUCUAAACCACGUGAUAAAGGAGCUGGUGCUGUCCUGGGUGGCAUGAGAACCAUGAGCUGAGGAUUGGACAAGCUUGCUCUACAAUAUUCAAAGAGCCAGAUUUCCUUCUGCACCAGAGCCUGUGGAAGCGCCACAGCGGAAGCACAGAGACUGGAAGAGCAGGCCACAGAUCAGCCCUGGGGUUCAGAGGGAUCCUGACGGCUACUCCUCAAGAUCCUCUCUGUUGUGAUUCAUCCCCCCCAGGCCCUACAGUUUCUCCUUCCUGACUCUUACAUUUCUUUGGAUGGCAUCACUAUUUACCUGUCUCCUCCCAUAGUUAGUUGCCAAGCACUGUGGAUUCUACCCCUCAGGGUCCAGACA
rnacentral:antisense_RNA from 1 species